rnacentral:rRNA from 1 species
AUCCUGGCUCAGGAUGAACGCUAGCGGCAGGCCUAAUACAUGCAAGUCGAACGAUACUCUUCAGCUUGCUGAAGAGGAAAGUGGCGCACGGGUGCGUAACGCGUAUGCAACCUACCUUAAUCAGGGGGAUAGCCCGAAGAAAUUCGGAUUAACACCGCAUAAAAACACAGGACAGCAUUGUCCAAUGUUCAAAUAUUUAUAGGAUUAAGAUGGGCAUGCGUGUCAUUAGCUAGUUGGCGGGGUAACGGCCCACCAAGGCGACGAUGACUGGGGGAUCUGAGAGGAUGACCCCCCACACUGGUACUGAGACACGGACCAGACUCCUACGGGAGGCAGCAGUAAGGAAUAUUGGUCAAUGGAGGCAACUCUGAACCAGCCAUGCCGCGUGCAGGAAGACAGCCCUCUGGGUCGUAAACUGCUUUUAUUCGGGAAUAAACCUCAUUACGUGUAGUGAGCUGAAUGUACCGAAGGAAUAAGGAUCGGCUAACUCCGUG